GUUUGUAGCUUAGUGGAAAAGUGCUUGCCUAGCACGCACAAGGCCCUGGGUUUGAUCCCCAGCAUCCCA
rnacentral:tRNA from 1 species